AUGGCGGCCCGGAGCCUGGCCGCAGCAGCGCCUCUGCUCCGCUGGAUCCGCGGGCUUCCACUUCACCACCGGAUGUUUGCCACCCAGACUGAGGGGGAGCUCAGAGUGACCCAAAUUCUCAAAGUUUCCGUGAGCUACAGCUGUCAAAGUCACUGACAUUUCAGGAGUUGUGGGACGAUGGAUGAAAUUAAAAUUGAAUCAGAAGAAUUAAGGAGAAGAGAACUGCCCAGCAACACCAGAUGGUUAAUCAGGCACUAAAAGAAGAAAUCAAAAGGAUGCAUGGAUUGCGGAUAUUUACCUCUGUCCCCAAACUCUGACCACGCCCUGGCUGCAUAGAUGCUGCUGCUUAAGACCUUGGAUGAACUUGACUGACCUCAUUCUUCCCUAAGCAUUCACCAAAAAAUUUAUAUAUUUUGCUCAUAUACAUUUCCAUAUUAUAAUUAUAAAAGAUGUAUAACCUAUUUAGAUGUUAAUUAAAGGAAACAAACAACUGA